rnacentral:rRNA from 1 species
AAUGAACGCUGGCGGUAGGCCUAACACAUGCAAGUCGAACGGCAGCACAGGAGAGCUUGCUCUCUGGGUGGCGAGUGGCGGACGGGUUAGGAAUACAUCGGAAUCUACUUUUUCGUGGGGGAUAACGUAGGGAAACUUACGCUAAUACCGCAUACGACCUACGGGUGAAAGCAGGGGACCAUCGGGCCUUGCGCGAGUGGAUGGGCCGAUGUCGGAUUAGCUAGUUGGCGGGGUAAAGGCGCACCAAGGCGACGAUCCGUAGCUGUUCUGAGAGGAUGAUCAGCCACACUGGAACUGAGACACGGUCCAGACUCCUACGGGAGGCAGCAGUGGGGAAUAUUGGACAAUGGGCGCAAGCCUGAUCCAGCCAUACCGCGUGGGUGAAGAAGGCCUUCGGGUUGUAAAGCCCUUUUGUUGGGAAAGAAAUCCAGCUGGCUAAUACCCGGUUGGGAUGACGGUACCCAAAGAAUAAGCACCGGCUAACUUCGUGCCAGCCGCCGCGGUAA